CACGGAGGGGGCUAGCGUUGUUCGGAAUUACUGGGCGUAAAGAGCUCGUAGGCGGCUCAGUAAGUCAGGUGUGAAACCUCCAGGCUCAACCUGGAGACGCCACCUGAUACUGCUGUGGCUAGAGUCCGGUAGGGGAGCGUGGAAUUCCUGGUGUAGCGGUGAAAUGCGCAGAUAUCAGGAGGAACACCAGCGGCGAAGGCGGCGCUCUGGGGCCGGAACUGACGCUGAGGAGCGAAAGCGUGGGUAGCAAACAGG
rnacentral:rRNA from 1 species